CCGUUUAAGAGCCAUCGCCAAUGAUCUUUCUAUUGGAAACCGCUUGGCAGAGCUGGGUUCCUUAUUUCCUGCUCUGCUUCUUGAUCCUCAUGUCUUCAAUUGACUGAACACUAAACCCUGUGUGCCAUGUCUGGCUAUCAAGCAAGGCACACUCCCUAUAUUCCUCCAGAGGGUCUGCGCAUUGACACAGCAUAGCCAAAUCUCUGUCUGCCUUAAUAAUUGACUGCAAUAUUACUUGGCAACAAACCACUUGUAAACUGAGCCAGUUGCCUGCUCAGCCUUAAAGCAGGACAUAAAGCUUGCUGGAGCUUAAUGGAAUUUGGGAGUGGGCCAUCAUCCCUGCUGGGGCAGGAAGGCUCUCUCCUCUAGCCUGAUUCCUGAAUUUCAGCCUUCCUGCCAGCUUUAGAAGGAAGAUUCUGGCUUGACAGCUUUGCAGUUCCUAUUUACCUGCUCAGGGUUGAUGGAAACACCCCAUGUGCUCAAGCAGCUGCCCUUGAACCCAUCCAUCCUGCUCAGCCCUAACCCAUAGCUCAAAUUCCCCACAAAAAAAUCAGACAAGAAACAUGCCCUGUUCUGGACAUCUUCCCAGAAUCUCUAUAUGGGUGGCUGUGAGUGAAUAUUAACAUGUCAAGCAGCUUAUCACAGUUCAGCACAGAUGACAACUACCAGAGGUGUUCGGCAUACAGAUAGUCCUCAACUUAUGACCACAGUUGGGACCACAGAAUUCCAUUGCUAAGCAAGGUAGUUGCUGAGUGAAUUGUACCUGAUUUUAUGACCUUUUUUUCACCACAAAUGUUAAGUGAAUCAUUGCAGUUGCUAAGUGAAUCAUGUGAUUGUUAAGCGAAUCUGGCUUCCCCCAUUGACUUUGUCACGUCAAAAGCCAGUUGGGAAGGUCACAAAUGGUGAUUGCAUGACCCUGAAAUGCUGCUACCACUGAAAAUACAGGCCAGUUGCCAAGUGUCCAAAUUUUGAUCACGUGACCAUGGGAUACUGCGAUGGUCAUAAGAGUGAUAAUUGGUUGGAAGACACGUUUUUCAGUGCUGUGACUUUGAACAGUCACUAAACGAAUGGUUGUAAGUCGAGAACUAUUUGUAUGUGUAUAUAUGGAACAUACAAUACAUACUGGGGGUAAAGUAGAAAUAGAUGGGGCCUAAUGGCCAAAAUAGAAAUGCACCCUAUAGACCAGUGUUUCUCAGCUUUGGUAGCUUGAAGAUGUAUGGACUUCAAUGUCUAGAACAGAAGUCUAUAGAAAUACCUGUAGGUUUCUAUUAGAAGUCCCCAAAUGUUUCUGGUAAUUCUGAUGAUUAAUAUAUGCAUAGGUUCUAUUCCGGCAUGAUAAUCUGCUGAUUAUUACUGCAAAUCCACUCUAUUCAUUCAUAGUGUGAGCAAGGCUACUGUUGUGUCUCAUCCGCUUUCACCACAGCCGGGGCCUUCUUAUCUGCUUCCGAACACUGAGGAAUGUCCUAGCAUGCCUCCCGGCCCCAGCCCUGGCUCCAUGCCCAGACAGGCUGAGGAGGAAGAAGUACCUCCAGCCCCCAGCUCUGGCUCCAUGCCCAGGCAAACAGAGCAACUAGACCCCUCCCCCUCCCCCACAGCAUGUGAGCUUGAGGAAGGUCAAUUACCAACAGCUGCCGACUGGAGUGACCCUCGCUUCAGAAGAAUUGAUAGGCGGCGGCGACAGAAGGAAGGGAGGGGCAGGCCUGGAUAAGUGCUGAGUCAUGGAGCCACACCCCAUGGCCUAUAUAAAGGAUCUGCUUUCUGGCAUUCUCUGAGUCAGGCAAAGUCUAACAUAUCCUGCUGAAGUCACUUUCUGGUCUCCUGCCUGCCCUGAGGACUUUGCUAGGACUUUGGCAGAGCUGCAGAGGCACGCCUGAUUCAGAUUUCCCUGACCCGGCCGUCAGCGGAGGAGUGGGACACGACAGCUACAUUAUAUUCACCUAGCAACAUAAGACCGGUUUUACAGCUGCUGAAUUCUAUGUGUCGGGGUUAAGAUGCUGGCCUAGAAACUAAGGAACCUGAAUUCUAGUCCUGCCUGAGGCAUGAAAGCCAGUUGGUGACCUUGGGCCAGACACUCUCGCUCAGCCCAAUCCACCUGUUGUUGUGGGGAAAAUAGGAGGAUGAAGGAUAAUAGUAUACAGUAUGUUCUCCACAUUAAGUUACUUAUAAAGUAAUAAGGGCAAGAUAAAAAUCUAAUAAAUAAAUAAAUAAAUUCCUCAAAGAUUACAGAAUUCGACAGUGUAUUCUUCCUAGAGCCCAAGUCUCUUAUUUCUCUGGGACAGAGAUUAACACUUUAACUUCAUUAUGCAUGUACAAUACUGUAGCAGAGAUAUCGUCUGAGUCUAAAAUGUAACUAAAAUGUAGUUGAAAGUAUGGGAAUCAUGGAAUAUAUAUUUAUUGGGAACAAUCCCUUCUGAAAUCAUUGGGAUUUAGGGCUAAAUGUGAUCAUAUAGACGUCCAUUCUUUGUUGUCCUAAUUAUUGCUUUUAUUUCUUGUCUUAUCUGACCCGAUCUAGAAAAAAAAGUUUAUAUAUAUAUUUUGCCUUUCCAUAUAUAUAUGGAAAGGCAAAAUAUUUGCCUCCAGUCUUGUCCUUUAAAGAAAAAAAUCACAUCCACACACCCCAAAUAUAUAUGUAUUUAUGUGUUUGUGUUUGGUGCCACUAAAGUUUUUAAAAAUCCAGGUCUCUGCCAAGUGGGUUGAUUAAAAAAAAAACAGAGGGAGCAUUAGUCUCCUGAUCCUCAGUGAUCCCAGUCUGGAUUAAGUCACUGCAUGCUUAUACCAGAGAAAAUAAUACCACAGAAAUGGGCAGUGGGAUACACAUUUCCUGUAUCAUAUGCUUUAGAGCUUAGUUCCAAGUAAACAUUUGUAGCUUAACUUUUACUAGCCUGCUUGACAGAAUGUACCUUUAUAGUUAUACCCUUGACUGAGAAAAAACACCAGAGUUAUUGGCAUAUCAUAAAUGCAUUCUUUAGCUAUGAUGGAAGAAUAACAGUGGAAGUUCAGGAACCAGUAUCCUUUUGUCCCCUGAAUGCUGUCAAUUACUGUGAUCAGCAUACAGACAGGCUUGCUUACCAGUGGAUAAAAAAAAACACCCCACUGCCUUCAAUUCAAAAGGCAAUUUCCAAAUAAAAGCUGUCUAGCCA